rnacentral:tRNA from 1 species
CAAGAAGUAGUUUAAGUUAAAAUAUUAAUUUUGGAGAUUAAUGAUAAAGGUAUUUCUUUUUUCUUGA